rnacentral:rRNA from 1 species
CCUACGGGAGGCAGCAGUGAGGAAUAUUGGUCAAUGGGCGAGAGCCUGAACCAGCCAAGUAGCGUGCAGGAUGACGGCCCUAUGGGUUGUAAACUGCUUUUAUGCGGGGAUAAAGUUCACUACGUGUAGUGUUUUGUAGGUACCGCAUGAAUAAGGACCGGCUAAUUCCGUGCCAGCAGCCGCGGUAAU